GCGCGGUUCAUCGUCGGGCUCUGCCGGUUUUCUGCCACCGCGCGGAAGGCGAGGCGAGCAGCUCUGUUCGGCUGUGGAAGUGAGGAGUCUGGCUGGGGAGCGCGCUACCGAGCAGAGGAGCAGCGCGCGGACAUUGCACACCAGAGCACAGAGAUGUCAUAUAUUCACCUGUCCAACCAUUAUGAAAUGACAUGAAAGUGAAGGACACCAGUGGUAAUGCUGUUAACAAAAUACAACUAUUACCUCACAUGGGAAAGGAAAGGUGACUUAAUUUAACAUCCACUGUAUCGAUGCCAAAAGCAAGGCAUCCUGCUGCUCAAAAUUUGCUCUUUGAUUAAUUGACGAUUAGACAACCAAAUGCCAGACUUGCAAAAAGCACUUCACCUAUCGAGCUCUAUAAGAUAACAUCGCUACUAGUCUUCUAGUCCACAUUUGAAGAGUAAGUCUCAUCCAGCUGGUGAAGACUACA